GGAUGCUUAUCUUGCUGGGAUCCUAUGACCCCAGCUGACUUCCUGCCCUUUGGGCGGGGGGCUGGACUCAAUGAUCUUCCGAGGUCCCUUCCAGCCCUAAUGUCUAUGAAAUCUAUGAAAUCUGCACAGAACCAGCAAUCACCCAAAACACACCAAAAAAGCUGUGAUAUACAGCCAAGCCCUCAGAUACCACCGCAUCUGUACUGAAGAGAACACCCGGGAUUGCCACCUCACCAAUCUUAAAAAGACUUUCACCCAACAAGGACACUCCUCCAGAGAGAUAGAUCGCACAUUUGAAAGAGCCACCUGGAUACCACGUGAAGAACUGCUGCAGUACAGAAGAAAAACACCCACAAAUCGCACACCGCUGAUUAUGACGUAUCACCCAUCCCUUGAACCUGUACAGAAAAUCCUCAAAAAAUUGCAACCCAUAUUAGAAAAAGACCCUAUUCUUAAAAAGAUCUUCCCAGAGCCACCCAUCCUAGCCUUCAGACAAGCACCGAACCUCGCCAACCUCAUCACCAGAAGCAAACUUCCUCAAGCCCAGAACACACCAAAAGGAUCCAGACCAUGCCAUGACAAGAAAUGCAAAACCUGCCAACACAUCUCCACCACCCCCACUAUUACUACACCCCACAACAGAGCCAUCAGCAUCCCAGGAUCUUACAGCUGCACCUCCAGAAAUGUAAUAUACCUCAUCCAAUGCACCAAAUGCCCUGGUGGAAGAUAUGUAGGAGAGACCAGACAACAACUGCGCACCAGAAUGAACGCACACCGGAAAUCCAUCAAAGACAGAAACACCCAAUUACUGGUGGGGGCACAUUUCUCACAGGAGGGCCACUCUCUCUCCAGUCUCUCAGUCCUGAUCCUCAAGGGAAAGUUACACAACACUUCCCAGAGACGAGCCUAUGAGCUCCAUUUCAUCAACCUGCUGGAUACUAGAGAUCAGGGACUAAACAUAGACAUUGGAUUUUUGAUACAUUAUAAUCUGCCUGGCAACUGACUCCCCAGCCCAGCCCAGCCCAGCCCCGGGCUUCUUUACUUUUCAUCCCAUCCAGGAAGAGCACACACCAACUGCUGCAGCUUCCUUAGCCUGACGAAGGGUUUUUGAACCCGAAAGCUUGCUUAAUAACUAUUCUCCAACCAUUUGCGUUGGUCUAAUAAAAGAUAUCAAAUUCACCCAGGGAACCUUGUCUGCCUUCAUCUAAGUGAGCAUCCAGACCCUUUUUGAAAACAAGAACAACUAGCAAGUGCAAAUUGUCUUCCUAAAAUGAGCUGUUCAGAACAGAACUCUGUUUUCAGACUCAGCCAGCCUGAGAACUUGUGACUGAAACUAUUCUGAAUUUGAGCAGCCAGUUGUCCCUGUGAGGAAUGCUAAGGAAAUAGUUGCAGCCCGGUGGAGAGAUGCUUAUCUUUAGACGGGGCAGCUGCAAGUGAGGUGUGGAUUCAUGGGUUGAACAGUGCUACCCACAGACAUUUUUGGCCUCUGGACUAAUUCUUAAGUUGGGUUUCUCUCUUGCCUGGAUGCCCACAUACCUCUUUGUGACUGCUGGAUUUAGAAUCGGGGCUGGGUUUAGUUAUGUUUCUGCAUUUUAAGUAAGUCGUAUAUAUAGGCUUCUUAUGAUUUUAACAUCAAAAGGAAUAUUGGUCAGUUUCAUGAGAGAGCCAUUCACAACCCAUUAAAAAACCCCAUCGGUCAGCCAGGCCAGGAUAAAAUACCUAGUUUCCUCCACCCCGCCCAGUGGACAACACUGGACUGAGCACAGUACUUGGAGUCCUUGGGAUCCAAUAAUGAUUCAGUCAUGGAUUUCCACCAUAACAGAAACUCCUGGGGAGAAGAGUGGAGGUGGCAGUAGUGCCCACAAUGGCAGAGGAAGCUCCAAUUUGUUUAACCUUGCCACAGCAGGAAUGACUUUGAGCAACAUUUGUAAAUCUUCCAAAGACAUAAACUAGCACAUAUGUAGUACUAAAGAUGGAGCAUGCCCUAGUACAGGGUUGCCCAACAACCUGUGGCAUGUGCGGCACAAGCAGCCUCUGUGUGGGGUACAUGGCAGAUCAGGGAGGGGCCAGGCAGCACAGUGGCAGAUAGCGCAGACAGCAGAAAUGAAAACAGCAGAUCAUGCAGGGGCAGAGAGCAGAAAGCAGAGAAGCAAAUCGGGCAGGGGAAGGAGAUUGGAGUAGCACUCAAGGCAUGUGUGGUACUUAAUUUGUGGCCUACCUACAAAAAAGGCUGGCCCCACUGCUCUACUGUGUUGUUCAUUCUUGUCCAACAAGCACCUUUCACAGAUGCUAAAUUUACUCAAAUAGAGAAGGAACUUAGACUGCUAUGUGCUUUAAAGAACCCAUAACUAAGCCCAGCCACCCCAGCAGAGGUUUUCAAAGGCACAGAUGCUGACUCUCAAGGAAGGUUGGUGAGCAUUUAAAUAUCUCCCAUAGCACUUCACUUUGUUAUCUGCUAGAAGCUCUAAAGUUAAGCAAGCAAGGGUUGGGUCAGUAUUUGUAUAGGAGACUUUCCAAGAAAACUCUGAUGCUAUAGGGAGCAGUACCGAUGUAGUGCAUUAUUUCUUUUGUAUCAGAACUAGAGUCAAGGCCCCAAAAUGGUUUUACGUGGCAUUUUGCUGUCUUUCAGCUGAGAGACAAAACUAAAGUCUUGACCUUCUAUGUCUUUAAAGAGAGCAUUGUAUUUCUGGGCAAGACUUGAGCUGCUAACUAUAGCAUUCUAAUCAGUUACUUGGGUAAUUGACUCCUGCUUUUCUAUAUUUCCUGUGUAAUUUCAGUUGUUUCCUUUAGUUUUUUCAACCUGUCUUAAUUGAAAAUGAAAGAUAUACAGGAGAAGGUCAUUUCUGCUGUGAGGGUAUCCAAGGACUUACCAGACUUACAUGCUGGUGACCUGGAUACAGCUGAGUGGCUAAAGAAACAAUUAUGAAUAUCUCAAUUUUAUUUUCAGUGUUGUGAUAUUUUUAUGUAGCCAGAAACUUCUCUUUAUCUUGUGGACUUUUAUAACAUAUGAGUAGACAUAACCUGGCACACUUUUCUAUCCCACUUUGCAUUUGAUUAAAAAAAACCCUGUCCUAAUAUAAAGUUGCUUUGCCAGAAAUAGUUGCCAUGUUUCAUCCCAGAGGUAUUAUCUGCAUUUCUAAUAGGUAAAAUGUUCUCUCUAUGUAUACUAAUAUGAGUUCCAUCCUUUCUGAUAAUUCAUUAUCUAUUUCACAAGUACAUUGUGAGAUUUAGCAAACUAAUUUCUAUAAAACAUUCUGAGCUCUUCAACUGAAAAGUGCUGCAAAAUUACAAAACACAAAGAACACCAGAUCCUGGAUAGUACUAAAUUACUGCUAUACCAGUGUCAUUUUUCUUGAUUUGUCAGGGCAUUAAGAAUUGUUUUAGUAAUCUCAUUCAUAAUGAUUCACAGCAGUAUAACACACAGAUUUCUUUUGAAAAAAGACACUUUUAUUUUGUUAAAACCAUACAGUUCUAGGAAUAAAGUAAAGUCACGCUCCAUAAGUCAUGCCCAGACAAGGAUAAUAUUAAACAACAGUUAGUUUACAGGGGAAUGUUGCUAAUCUGCAAAAAUUGCUCAGUGCUUUUGGUAAAUCCAUUAUAGCCAGCUUGGACAUGCAGAAUAAUAAGAUGGCCAGUAGGACUAGGGGCUGGGUUUAGCGGUGUUAAACUAAUUUUAAUAAUAUUGCUGUGUACCAGGCCAUAUCCACUGGGGAGGCAACCCCAUUUAAUGUAAGAGUAGGUCUGUGCUGCCAUCAGGAGUCGUGAGUACAGCACAGGUAGGCAGCUAGCCUGCUAUCCUAAUCUAGUAAGCUCGAGUAACAAUCACCAGGAAGACAUGGCAGCAUAGACUUCCACACAGAAUGUACAUGGCUAUACUGGGAGUUUACCCAAGCUGAAGCCCCCAUAUCAUCAUGUCUUCACUGCUUUCAUUACCUGAGCCACCUGGAUUACAUCUAGUUUGGAUAGACAUAUAUGUGGUUCAAUCUGACUACACUGUAGAAGUACCUUGAAGGAGGAAACACAAAGGGGGAAAAUACAUUA